rnacentral:rRNA from 1 species
GGAUAACAGUUGGAAACGGCUGCUAAUACCGCAUAAGCGCACAGCAUCGCAUGAUGCAGUGUGAAAAACUCCGGUGGUAUAAGAUGGACCCGCGUUGGAUUAGCUAGUUGGUGAGGUAACGGCCCACCAAGGCGACGAUCCAUAGCCGACCUGAGAGGGUGACCGGCCACAUUGGGACUGAGACACGGCCCAAACUCCUACGGGAGGCAGCAGUGGGGAAUAUUGCACAAUGGGCGAAAGCCUGAUGCAGCGACGCCGCGUGAGCGAAGAAGUAUUUCGGUAUGUAAAGCUCUAUCAGCAGGGAAGAUAAUGACGGUACCUGACUAAGAAGCACCGGCUAAAUACGUGCCAGCAGCCGCGGUAAUACGUAUGGUGCAAGCGUUAUCCGGAUUUACUGGGUGUAAAGGGAGCGCAGGCGGUGCGGCAAGUCUGAUGUGAAAGCCCGGGGCUCAACCCCGGUACUGCAUUGGAAACUGUCGUACUAGAGUGUCGGAGGGGUAAGCGGAAUUCCUAGUGUAGCGGUGAAAUGCGUAGAUAUUAGGAGGAACACCAGUGGCGAAGGCGGCUUACUGGACGAUAACUGACGCUGAGGCUCGAAAGCGUGGGGAGCAAACAGGAUUAGAUACCCUGGUAGUCCACGCCGUAAACGACGAAUACGAGGUGUUGGGAAGCAUUGCUUCUCGGUGCCGUCG